GAUGAACGCUGGCGGCGUGCCUAAUACAUGCAAGUCGAGCGAAUGGAUUAAGAGCUUGCUCUUAUGAAGUUAGCGGCGGACGGGUGAGUAACACGUGGGUAACCUGCCCAUAAGACUGGGAUAACUCCGGGAAACCGGGGCUAAUACCGGAUAACAUUUUGAACCGCAUGGUUCGAAAUUGAAAGGCGGCUUCGGCUGUCACUUAUGGAUGGACCCGCGUCGCAUUAGCUAGUUGGUGAGGUAACGGCUCACCAAGGCAACGAUGCGUAGCCGACCUUGGAGGGUGAUCGGCCACACUGGGACUGAGACACGGCCCAGACUCCUACGGGAGGCAGCAGUAGGGAAUCUUCCGCAAUGGACGAAAGUCUGACGGAGCAACGCCGCGUGAGUGAUGAAGGCUUUCGGGUCGUAAAACUCUGUUGUUAGGGAAGAACAAGUGCUAGUUGAAUAAGCUGGCACCUUGACGGUACCUAACCAGAAAGCCACGGCUAACUGCGUGCCAGCCGCCGCGGUAA
rnacentral:rRNA from 1 species